UCAAGUGACUAAGUGCAUGUGGCGGAUGCCUUGGCGAUCACAGGCGAAGAAAGACGCGGCAGCCUGCGAAAAGCUGCGGGGAGCUGGCAAACGAGCUUUGAUCCGCAGAUAUCUGAAUGGGGGAACCCACACCGCAAGGUGUAUCCGUAGCUGAAUACAUAGGUUACGGAGGCGAACGAGGAGAACUGAAACAUCUAAGUAUCCUCAGGAAAAGAAAUCAACCGAGAUUCCGGCAGUAGCGGCGAGCGAACCCGGAGGAGCCUAGCUUUUGAUAGUACGAACUUUAGCCGAAAGGUCCUGGAAAGGCCUGCUAUAGUGGGUGAUAGCCCCGUAGGCGAAAGAGUUGGUACGGUACUAAGGAAGCGAGAAGUAGAGCGGGACACGUGGAAUCCUGUUCGAAGACGGGGGGACCAUCCUCCAAGGCUAAAUACUCGUGAUCGACCGAUAGUGAACCAGUACCGUGAGGGAAAGGCGAAAAGAACCCCGGGAGGGGAGUGAAAUAGAACCUGAAACCGCAUGCAUACAAACAGUAGGAGCCUCAUCAGAGGUGACUGCGUACCUUUUGCAUAAUGGGUCAGCGACUUACAUUCUGUGGCGAGCUUAACCGAAUAGGGGAGGCGCAGCGAAAGCGAGUUCGAAAUGAGCGUCCAGUCGCAGGGUGUAGACCCGAAACCAGAUGAGCUAUCCAUGGCCAGGUUGAAGGUGUGGUAACACACACUGGAGGACCGAACCGACUAGUGUUGCAAAAUUAGCGGAUGAGCUGUGGAUAGGGGUGAAAGGCCAAACAAAUCUGGAGAUAGCUGGUUCUCCCCGAAAACUAUUGAGGUAGUGCCUCGUGUGUCGCUCCAGGGGGUAGAGCACUGUUUUGGCUAGGGGGACAUGGAGUCUUACCAAACCAAGGCAAACUCCGAAUACCUGGAAGCGUAAGCACGGGAGACAGAGCACCGGGUGCUAACGUCCGGACUCAAAAGGGAAACAACCCAGACCGCCGGCUAAGGUCCCAAAUAACAGCUAAGUGGAAAACGAAGUGGAAAGGCCGUGACAACCAGGAAGUUGGCUUAGAAGCAGCCAUCCUUCAAAGAAAGCGUAAUAGCUCACUGGUCGAGUCCUUCUGCGCGGAAGAUGUAACGGGGCUAAGCUGUUAACCGAAGCCGCGGAUGCGCUGGUUAUCCAGUGCGUGGUAGGGGAGCGUUCUGUAAGUCUGCGAAGGCGGUUCGAGAGGACUGCUGGAGAUAUCAGAAGUGCGAAUGCUGACAUGAGUAACGUUAAAGCAGGUGAAAAGCCUGCUCGCCGUAAGCCCAAGGAUUCCUGCUCUACGUUCAUCGGAGCAGGGUGAGUCGGCUCCUAAGGUCAGGCCGAAAGGCGUAGCCGAUGGGAAUCAGGUUAAUAUUCCUGAACCUGCGUCAGAUGCGAUGGGGGGACGGAGCAUGGAAGAUCAUCCGGGUGUUGGAAGUCCCGGUUGUUGAGCGUAGGAGGUCUGCAGGCAAAUCCGCAGACGCAUCUCCAAGGCAAAGACACGUGCCGCCACGGCGGCGAAGUGAUCGGAAGUGCUUCCAAGAAAAGCCUCUAAGCCCCAGUCUGACGCGGACCGUACCGCAAACCGACACUGGUGGGCGAGCUGAAUAUGCUCAGGCGCUUGAGAGAACUCGGGAGAAGGAACUCGGCAAAUUGACACCGUAACUUCGGAAGAAGGUGUGCCGUAGUACCGUGAGAGGAGAGACACCUUGAGCGGGAAACGGUCUCAGAGAAUAGGUGGCUGCGACUGUUUAUUAAAAACACAGCACUCUGCAAAGUCGAAAGACGACGUAUAGGGUGUGAUGCCUGCCCGGUGCUGGAAGAUUAAUUGAUGGGGUGAGAGCCCUUGAUCGAAGUCCCAGUAAACGGCGGCCGUAACUAUAACGGUCCUAAGGUAGCGAAAUUCCUUGUCGGGUAAGUUCCGACCUGCACGA
rnacentral:rRNA from 1 species